GUAGAUAUAGUUUAAACUUAAAACGAUAUGUUGCAAGCAUAUAAUUAUAUUUUAAUAUAUUAUUUAUU
rnacentral:tRNA from 1 species